rnacentral:rRNA from 1 species
AGCCUGCAUGUCUAAGUAUAGCAACUAUACGGUGAAACUGCGAAUGGCUCAUUAAAUCAGUUAUCGUUUAUUUGAUAGUACCUUACUACAUGGAUAACCGUGGUAAUUCUAGAGCUAAUACAUGCUAAAAACCUCGACUUCGGAAGGGGUGUAUUUAUUAGAUAAAAAACCAAUGCCCUUCGGGGCUCCUUGGUGAAUCAUAAUAACUUAACGAAUCGCAUGGCCUUGCGCCGGCGAUGGUUCAUUCAAAUUUCUGCCCUAUCAACUUUCGAUGGUAGGAUAGUGGCCUACCAUGGUAUCAACGGGUAACGGGGAAUUAGGGUUCGACUCCGGAGAGGGAGCCUGAGAAACGGCUACCACAUCCAAGGAAGGCAGCAGGCGCGCAAAUUACCCAAUCCCGACACGGGGAGGUAGUGACAAUAAAUACUGAUACAGGGCUCUUUUGGGUCUUGUAAUUGGAAUGAGUACAAUUUAAAUCCCUUAACGAGGAACAAUUGGAGGGCAAGUCUGGUGCCAGCAGCCGCGGUAAUUCCAGCUCCAAUAGCGUAUAUUAAAGUUGUUGCAGUUAAAAAGCUCGUAGUUGAACCUUGGGCCUGGCUGGCCGGUCCGCCUCACCGCGUGUACUGGUCCGGCCGGGCCUUUCCUUCUGGGGAACCUCAUGCCCUUCACUGGGCGUGUUGGGGAACCAGGACUUUUACUUUGAAAAAAUUAGAGUGUUCAAAGCAGGCCUUUGCUCGAAUACAUUAGCAUGGAAUAAUAGAAUAGGACGUGUGGUUCUAUUUUGUUGGUUUCUAGGACCGCCGUAAUGAUUAAUAGGGAUAGUCGGGGGCAUCAGUAUUCAAUCGUCAGAGGUGAAAUUCUUGGAUUGAUUGAAGACUAACUACUGCGAAAGCAUUUGCCAAGGAUGUUUUCAUUAAUCAGUGAACGAAAGUUAGGGGAUCGAAGACGAUCAGAUACCGUCGUAGUCUUAACCAUAAACUAUGCCGACUAGGGAUCGGACGGUGUUAGUAUUUUGACCCGUUCGGCACCUUACGAGAAAUCAAAGUUUUUGGGUUCUGGGGGGAGUAUGGUCGCAAGGCUGAACUAAG